UUUUUCUUGUGUGUUUUCAAGGCUAUCCACUUACGGAAAGUAACAGCGAAAGUUUAUCUGCUGACAGCUCAUUGCCAGAAUUCCAGGCAGGGGCUUGCAAUAUUUACACAAGGUGUUUCAUUGUGAACUUUCUGUAUGCAAGUGUAUUAAAACUCAAGAAAUACACACAGCAAGUUGCAGAAAAUUAAUUCUCUUUCCUUCAUUCCUGUACUUGCAAGCAAUCUUUGCCAGUCCUCUUUCCAUUCCAGAGCACAAUAAUGCCCAUAAAAGACCAGAGAGUGUCUGCUCUAUGCAACAUUUCUGCUUGUUUAUAACAGGAGGGGAAAAAUGGAUUGAAUUUAUUACAGCUGGUGGGGGAAAUCUGUUUUUGUCCAUUUUACCUGAUUGUUGCCGAAACCAUAUGUACAAAAUAAGUGAAAAGAAGCAUACCUGCAAAGAAAUUCGGCUGUUGAGCAUUCUGCAGGGUUUUCCUGAGGUCUGACCUUUGGCAAUCAUGGUUUUGCCAUGCUUUACAGAGAUCUAAUUGUUCCUAAUUUCCUGUCAAUAAAUGGUACAAGGUGUGGAGUUGCACUUUUAAUGUUAAAUUUCAAUCAUUUGUCUGACUUAAUAGACAUGAAUAGCUCUUUCAAAUGUAAGUGCUUUCAGUUCAUGUAGGAUAUAUUUGUAUUGAAAACGUAUUUUGAGUGGAUAAAGCCAUUAUUCAGGAUGUAGGAAAACAUUUCCUACCUAUUGCUGUCAAGCUCUGGGGGAGCUGUGGGCUCAGGGCUUGGAUCUUCUGAUCUUGGGAAAUAGACUCUAGAGUAAGGGUAUUUUUUUCCUUCAGUGAAAAUCACAACAGGUUCCUUCUUGCCAUGGGGAGAUGUGGCCAUGCUCUGUCCCAGGCAUGUCCUGUCACAUACACAUGCAUCUAGGUGGCAUGCAGGUGUCCUCCCACCACCAGGCUAUUCCUGGAGGCACAAAGCCAAUGCUUCUUCUUGGAAACACUGUUGGUCCCUUGGCAUCUUUCUCCUCUUCCCCAGGAUUUUCGGAUUUGGGUCUUCAGGUGUUUGUUUUCCCCUGUGUGUGAAGCUUCCCACAUCCCUGACAUGCCCAUGAUGUGUAGUAACUGCAGCGUGGGCAUGCCCUGAGUCACAGAGGCAGUAGCAAAAGCCACAUCUAGUUCUGGGAAGGGAGUGCCAACUGCCUGACUGCAAGCCUCUAUCAGAGCCCAUCUGAAAGUCUUCAUCUAAAAUAUACAGCAAUAUUUCUGCUGGACCUUGAUCUGGCUAGGUGUGAUGAGAAGAGUAGUGUUUCUACAGGUUGAUACUUCAAAGAGGCAAUAAAGUGCUAGGGAAAAUUGCUUUGGACUUGUGAUGAUGCAGUUAAAUAUUUGCAAAACUGUUUUAACAGGAUGCAGAGGAACUUAGAGCUAUUAGUGAUAGGUGAUAAAUCAGUUCAGAUAAAGUAGUUUGUGUGUAGAAGAUCGGUACUUGACUUUACUGUAACCAUGAGUAACAUUUCAGUAAAUAACAAUUUAUUGAAAUCUUUAAGUCAACAGUCAUUCAUCCUGUAAGGUUUCCACAGGUGAACUUGUGGUCUACGUUGAUAAUCACUGUUCGGGAGCAGAUUAAAAAAAUAUAUGACUCACCGUAUAAUCUACCCAGGCAGUCCUGACCCUGAAUCAGAGCAAUUAUUACAAUUACAACGUCCUUGUGUUUGGUAUUUUUAAUUCAGCUUUACACACUCUUCUGAAAGUUCCUGGCAGGACACUAUAUUCUGUUGGUCUUCUAUCACAUUCUAAAGCACUCGAUUACACCAAGAAAACCAGUAAUUUCUCUAUAUUUGUAGCUAUUCUUUCCUCUGUUGCAUACAAUGCUGCUUUUCCAGUAUUGAAUCCAUGAAAAAUGGCUGUAUUUUUCCUAUGAAAAAAAAGAUGUGUGUUGUAACUUUUCCUUAACAUAGACUGUGUUUUAAUAUAAUUCAGCUCAUAACUAAUCCCCUCCUGCACAGAUAACAUUUUAUACUUGAGUUUUGCUCUUUGAGCUUUUCAGCUUUUCAAUUCCAGCACUGGAUUCAUAUCAGGUUUCCUCUCUUAAAUAGUUCUCCUGUCUGUUUUGUAUAACUUCCAGUGGUUUGCAGAGUAUCUUUGUUUCAAAAUCUGUUGGUCUGCUCUACUGGGACUACAUAUGUCUCUGUUGUGUUUAACUAUCCCCUGCAACCUGUUAAUAUAGCAUAAUGGGUUUGCGAAGAUAAAAACCUUACCAACAAAAUAAUACUCCUUUCAUUAGAAACGGACCCUGAAAAAAAAAGUAGACACUUGAAAUGAAAAAUAUUUCAGGAGGAGAAAUAUCUAGGUCACAGCUUUUCUCAAUUUUUGUAAUUUAAUGCAGCCUGGAAUAAUUGCUGCAUGCAUUCUUUUGAAAUCAAGUCCUAUAAUGUUCUUAUUGCUCAAUCUCUAUUUUCGAAUGUUCUUGGUACUGUACAUUGUUCUGUUUUCCAAAUAAUUACAUUGUAAAAAAAAUGCUAAAAAAGUAAGUUGAAUCAGAGUUUAUCCAAAUAUUGAAAAGAAAUGUAGCCAUCCACAUCGGCCUGUUAGCUGUUGGUUUCUUUGUGGGAAAUUAACUCCACCUCUGAAGACCUCACUGCCACAAAGCCCGAAGCUCUGGAGAAAAAUACACUGUUGUGGAGCUGCUGGGGGGAGUAAACGACUUAUGGCUCGAGACUCAGGAAUUACCUGACAGACCCAGGAACCUUACCAAAAAGCACUUCCACUCUGAGCUGUCAGGCUCAGAAAAUGGAAGGUGGGCAAGGGAAGGCAGCAGGAUGAAGAGAGCCCAGACGUUUUAUUGGAUGGCCACUUCCUAUGAGCAGCACUGCGGUAUCCCUUCAUGUUCCCGAGAAGACAAAGCCCCUUCUCUUCCUCUCACCUUCACCUGACAUCCAUGUGGCAGCUACAGCAACUGCUCUGAUAGCAAAUAUAAUUUCCGCUUUGUUUCAUGCUAAACCAAAGAUGUUAAAACGGAGAAAUCAUCAGUAUUUGGGCCUCCAAGGAGCAAUUAAAUAGAGGCUUAAAAUUGGAUUAGGAAGCCCUAAUCCUAACCCAAAUUUCCUUGUUUUAGACCCAUUUACAAGGUUAGCUAUUGAAGGAGUGCAGGAGUAGAACAAAGGAGCCUGCUUACAGCAGGGAAAAUCACAUCUUAAACAUCUGAGAGGCUUCAUUCCACUUCGGUGUCAUAAAUUUAAACAAACAAUGUUGUUACAGAUUCAUGCAUUAAAUCAGCUCAGCGAUCGGAGACCGAUACAUCUUCUGUCACCUGUAGAAUCACACAGACAAUUUAUAGUUGUACGUGGUACUUUACCAAGAAACACAAUGACUUACUGAGCUUUAUUAUAUUUCAUUCCUACCAAAGCUCAGACUGUGUUCUUUUGCUCAUACUUUACGUUAUCACCUUGCUCAUCCUGGAGAGGUGCUGCUGUGUACUCCUAUGGUUUGGAAGAGGUGGCAUGCUUUGCUCCAGUGCACAGCCAGGCUCCGGGCAGAAAGCUUUUUCCAGCACCCAACCUGUUCAUUGACCUGAAAACAGCAUGUUUCACCUGUCUCAUGGUGUCAAAGUCGGAGCUAGUCACCCUUAGACUGAAUAAAGAGAAAGGGACACCUAAAGGACCUCAACCUUCUUCAAUCUUGCUCUGCAGUAGCCAUCACACCCUAAAUACAUCUGUUCCUCUUCAUUGAUUCAUGAGGGGCCCCAGGGUGGCUCUCCACCACAUUUAAGUCUUUUUUCUGUAUGGUUAAAGUGAGGGGAGGUGAAUCCACUCACAAAGAUCUGCCUCAUACAUCACAUCUGCCCGUUUUACCUGUGUUACUUCUAAAUGCUCGCUUUUCUGGCUACUAGUGGGUUAAACGGAAAAUGCACACUGCUAAAGCUGCAGGUUAAUGCUCUGAGAUUUGGCAGGAUCUUGCUUUCUUAUUGUGUUAUUUCGUAGAAAUAACUUUGCUGUUUGCUGGAAAAACAAAACAAAGCAAAACAUCUGUUUUAGUCUUCACACCAAGAACUACAACCCUGUGAAAGCUACUGAAGCAGGAGACGGUCAAAAUAAGAGAACUGCUAUAAUGUCCAAAGGGAAAUCACAGCUUUGCUGUACCUGGGAAGAACAUGACUCACGGUGUGCCUGGAAAGCGCAGAGACGGUGGGGAAUAGGUCUUGCAAGAGGCAGCAAAGUGAUGUCAAAGGGAGCAGAUGGAUUGCAUUGCACUUGGCAGACUGAAAGACGCUCUGUUGUCUCCUGAACUGGAGCUGUGGCGCUGAAACAACAGAAUUGUGCUCUCCCAGCACACAUUCUGCUGAUGUGGUGGUCACUCUGCACAGGAAGCAUUUUGAUCCCUUGUAGCACGUCCAGCCAAAGCCUGAGCAUCCUGACAGUGCCAUCCUUAGUGUGGGUGAGGACCAACAAUGACAAGGUUAAGGCGUUUGAUAACCUGUGAGCCCAAGUGCAAAAGCGUUAGAUAAACAGUGGUAAUGAGAGGGGAAUUAGGGACAAUAGAUCCUUGAGGGCCAGAAGAUCUUUCGAUGUUGUUUUUAUUUAGAGAGGGUUAUUUUUAUUUAGAGAGGGUUAUUUUUUUGUUGCAACAUUUCUAUGGGAGAAGGAGGGGAGGCCGUGCUGAGUGGGAUCCUUUGCAUUGCAGAUACCAGCUGCUCUCUGUGGAGUAGCAAACCAGGCUGCAGGUGCUUUAGCUGAAACUUGGUUUCAUUGACCCAGGUGACUUUUGCCAUCAACCCUAAGGCAGGAGGGCUCCCGUCCACGGUGCCACCGGGAGCACAAAGACACCACUGAGCGAUGUCUCACAAUGGUGUUUAACAGAAGGACAUAACAGAAAAGUUCUCGUAGUCCCCUUGCUUAGGAGUGAAAUGCCAUGCCCCCAGGAAUCAUGCGGGAAGAUUACAACCAGAUUUUCACAUUGCAAUGUGUUCUGUUUAUGAAUGGAGACCAAACUAUGCGACCGAAGCACAACCCCUUAUUAGAGGGGAAAGGCUGAGAUGACGAAGAGCCCUGUGCUGUGCGGAUAAGCUGGAGUCACUGUGCUCUGCCUCAGCUAAUUGGCACAGGACCCAGCAGCGUGGGUACCCAACCAGUCGUUUCAUACAUAGAAACUUGUAAUUGUGUGAGCAUUUCUACUCACUUUUAAUUCGGCUGAUGAAAACGCACAGAUGUGAGGGUAAAAGGUUGUGUGAGAUUCAGGAUGUCACCAGCUCCUCUUAACUUGCCUCCCUGGGCUGCUCAAGUGUUUUUCUAAUAAUAAUAAUAAUAGCAAUCUUAAUUUACUGUGAAUUGAAAAGGAGAGUUGAAGCAAACGAAGGCCGUGCCACCAUCCUCCAGGAAGACCCAAGAAGCUGAGGAAUGUCUUCCUCUUCUCAAAACUGGAAAGCCACCCUGGGGAAGGUGGGGACUGUACACCUCUGCUGUCCACCCUGUCCUCUCCAUGCCCAUUUUCAUGGCCCAUGGCUAGUGCAGGGGUUAUGUACCAGCCACCUCUGUGGGCCAUGGCUGGUUAGACACGGGUGCCUGGGGCACCUUGCACCACCGACAUCAGCCACGAGCCUCAGCUGCAGCCACCUCUGUCCACCUGGCCUGGCUGACUCGCAUGGAAGUGAUUUGUCAGGAGCUCCACUGAACCCCCUCAAAAAUAUUCUUGGCCAAAGUGCCAAGCUUGCCCUCAGGAGACUCUCUUUGGGCAGCUGGGCUUGCUCUUCCCACACGCCAGCCCCCCUCGGACACAUUGCAUGGGCAUUUGAGCAACUACCCAACCAUAAAACAAGCAUAAAUGUUUUCUCAGGGAAAGGAUGAGGAAUGUGUUUGCAAUCCGCUCCAAGAUUUUCCUAAAAUAAAGACUCCAUGUCCGUGGACAAUAAUCAUAUUAGCACACCAGGAAGUUAGAAAAAAAUGAAAAAGAAGUUAUUGUGUUGGUCACACACUGCUGGGUUUGUCCCUUUCCGGACACACUUGAUUAGACUCCGUUACUGGUUUGUAGACACCCUAAAUCUAGCAGGGAAGGACUGAAGCACUGACAUAUGGUUAAGAUAGUAAAACAGCCCAAACCUUUCCAAGCAUUAGCUGAAUUUCAUCCAAAAUUCCAUUAAAAUACAUACUGAAAUAAUGUGGAAAAAGAGGAGGAUCUUUUUUGCAUAGCCAUUUAUGUAUUCUUUGGUGUCUUAGUGUCAUCAUGAUCCUUAGCUCAAAUUCCUCAAGUUCACACACCCAGCACAACACUCUGCAUUGACUUGGGGCCACAACUGAGAUCUGUUCAGGGAACUUUAUUCUCAUGGACCCUCAAAUCUAACACUUCCAAAUUAACACCAAUUGUGGUUAGUUGCUUCAUAUGCACUCUCUUUAGAUAUCCAUUUCUAGCUGCGUGCAACUGCUGGCAGCAAAAAUGCAUUAGAAAGAUUUAACCUCUAACCUCACCCAAACAAAAGAUGUUCAAGAGCAUUGAUACUUUGAUGGGGUCCUGGGCACUGGUGGGUAAAUGAAGACAAGUUGGAGAAAAGUCUCCAGUGUUUUCCCUCCUCAAACCCUGUCCCCUGAUCACCAGGGCUGCAUCAAAAACCUGCCUCACUUCCCCAGAUCCUAUUCUAGCACCUUGAAAAUGUCAAAAGGAUUCAUCCUUCUUCCUAAGCACCUUCAUGGGAAUGAUGCAAAGCAGUCUGCUAUGGGCUAUGACAUUGUCAGAGAACAUUAAGAGGUAGCUGGGUUGCUGCUUGUGUCAAGGACCUCCAAGAAAUCCUUUUUGGGUGAGUUGGUAGCAGUUCAGUGUGCAUCAUUUCUAGAUUUCAAGAAGAUUAGGAAGAUCCAUUCCAUUUUUUUCCUGUUUUUCUCCAAGAUGUACUGCUUGGACAAUAACAGGAAUAACUCCACGAGAGGCAGAUGGCAUUAGAUGAUCAUGCUGAUCCACUGAGGCUUAAGUACUGAACUUCUUUGCAGUCAAGGUGGGCUAGAAACAUGCACUGUGAUCAGCUGAAAGGCAAGGAGACAUUGCUGCAUCUGUGUCUGAUUUGUGUGUGCCCCGAGAAGGAAAUUGCAUUUCAAAAGGGUUUUGCAUUCAGGUCAUGUUAUUUUAUUCCAAGCUGGUGAGAUUCUGCUCCACUACCUAGCCCUGAAUGUCAGGUGAUUUCAAUUUGUUUGACAUCUCUAGUUUUGCACUAUUUUAUUCAUUCUGAAAUAGUACAUUUGCCCAAGUAUCACUUCAUAUUAAACAAGGACUGGAAAUUUACUGGGGUUUUCUCUGAACAGACAAUUUGCUAGAAUAUCAUUUUUAAGAUGAGAAAUUAGUUAGACAGCUUCCUAAGAGCUUUACCUGCAAGCCAAUAAGAAAAUGGAAUCAGUUUAACAUAUUUUAUUCAUUUUUGUUGUUUUUGUUUUUGUUUUCUCUAGAAAACAGAUUAUUUUUUUUCAUGAAAAAGCAAUUUUGAGCUUUUUUUCUAAGGGCUAAGAAAAUAGCAAUCAAAAUCUGAAAAUGAAACAGAACUAUUAACUUAUAGUGGCAUGACGGCAUGAAAGAGAUCAGUCAAUCUGAAAUGGAGUUGUUUUUUUGUUGUUUUUUUUGCUUGCUUGUUUGUUUGUUUCUGGUUUGGUAGAAAAUAAUUAAAAAAAAAAAUAAACCCACACAGAAAUAAAACAAUCCUUUGCACAGCUCUAGAUAAUGUGUUUCAAAAAUAGUCCAAAGGGAUACAUUCACACAGAAACAGAUUCUUUCAUUUCUCAAGCCAUCCAAUAGUGAAGGAAAAAAGAGACCAGAACUUCCUCCAAGUUUCCUUCUGCUGCUCCUCUUAAAACAAGGGAAAACACAUUUCUGACCACAUUACAUGUUUUAGUUGGACACCACUAAACGCAAGGCUUCUGCUGAAAUGCAGGACGCCACCCGACCAAAGUUCAAAGUCGGGCAACCAGCCAUGAUUAUUUGUAAAAUAAAGUGAAUCCAAAAGCUGUCAGACGAGCAACUGCAAUGAUAACUUGGAGCAUCUUCCUGGCUGUAAACACCCUCCUGUGGUGGUCCCUGCUUCAUUUACCCCAAGAUAUACCCUCCCCUUGUAACUCAGGCAGAACUUAGGUGCAGGAGGACUUUGGCUCGGGGUGCUGGUUGUCCUGCCUUUCCUUCCCUCAUCUUCCCUGAUGUAUUUUGGCUUGGGCAGUACCUGGAGUCAACACAGUGAUUUUCAUGGAGGGCACUGGGAUCUACGUGGUCCAUACAGAGAGGGAAAGAGGAAGAAGUAAGGAUGUGAUAUUGGAAAGGGACAAUGCUUUCCUCUGAAGGGUUGUUAUAGCUCCUUCACCUCCCUCUCACUGGGAAAAUCUUGGUCAUUUCUACCUCUGCUGGCCCUCUCCAUCGUGCCAAGCCAUGUGCCAUGAGCUGUGUGCUGUGUCUGCAAACCUGGCCUCCCUCCUCCAUGCACUGCAUCAUGCCCCA